UGGUAAACAAUUUACGUACUUGUCGAGAAGAGAUUUAAAGGUAUAGUUCUAGGGGUUUUUUUUUCUCUCUUUUUCAUUUUCUUUCAUUUUUAGCUUUCUAAUCAAUCAAUAAGUUUUUGUUCAUGGGGUUAAUUCUCCGCUUUCAGAUUAUGUCUAGAUAUUGUGUUGCUAAAAGCUGAGGUUGUGAACUACUUUUACCCAUUGUAGUUGUCAAUCUAGCUAGAAUAAAGGAUUUGGAUAUUGAUCUUCAAAACUAAUUUCACUUCAGGUUUUUUAUUGUUUAUUUGUCAUGAGAUUAUUGGUGUUCUAUUCUUCAAUGUUGCUUUGUUUUGUAGGUUUAAUCAUGCUCUAAGGUCAGUUGUCAAUAUUAUACAAACUUCACAUAUAUGGCUCUAUUUUGUUGUUUAACUUGCUCUUCUUUUAUAGACAAGAUAUCUUCAUUUUCAGAACUGGCCUGUCAAAUGGAGGUGGUGUCGGGAUCUCCAAUCUUUUAUAUUUGUAUGUGAGAGACAUAAAAGGUGCAUUGUUGGAUAUCUCAUCCCAUCCUGUGGUUGUUGAUGUUGAUGAGAUAUCCAACAAUGAAUCCUUAGUAUAGAAUGAGCAUCAUAUUAACAUCAAUCAUUCGUAUAGAAUUAGCAGUAUUGUAUAAUAAAUUAAGGGCAAAACGAUAUGUUUCUUUAUUUAUUUCAUGAUAGUUGGUUUUGCACCUAAUGUAACUAUGGUAUAUCACUAAUAGUACUUAAAUGUAGAUCCCAUUGAUUGACAUCAUUUUAUUCUUUUUCUUUUUUACAUUCUUCUGUGCUUGCUACAGAGUAAAAUUUUAUGUGGCUGUUUGCUAUAUUCAUGUUGUACUCUCUUUAAGUGAGUUGCACUCUUUUGCUCUGUGAUGUAUGCUUAUAUCCAUGUUGUCUUUGUAGGUUCAACUGGAGUCGACAACUUCAUGAGUUUUCCUUCAAAGAAGUUUAUCUGUACCAUCAAAAUACACUGGCUAGCAUGGUUCAAGCACCAAAGAAUAUUUUCAGAGAUGAAGGCUUAUCGGUUGGUUGUUAUGCUUGUGCAGAAAAUCAUGUUAUAUGUAUUCUAUUGAAAAGAGAGACAACGAGUUCACACCAAUUUACGUGGAAACACGAGUACCGGGAG
rnacentral:lncRNA from 1 species